rnacentral:rRNA from 1 species
AUUGAACGCUGGCGGCGUGCUUAACACAUGCAAGUCGAUCGGUAACGCGGGGGCAACCCUGGCGACGAGAGGCGGACGGGUGAGGAACGCUUGGGAAUCUGCCCUUCAGCGGGGGACAACACGGGGAAACUCGUGCUAAUACCGCAUACGCUCCACGGAGGAAAGCCGGGGACCGCAAGGCCUGGCACUGAAGGAUGAGCCCAAGUCGGAUUAGCUAGUUGGCGGGGUAACGGCCCACCAAGGCGACGAUCCGUAGCUGGUCUGAGAGGACGAGCAGCCAGACUGGGACUGAGACACGGCCAAGACUCCUACGGGAGGCAGCAGUGGGGAAUAUUGGACAAUGGGGGAAACCCUGAUCCAGCGACGCCGCGUGGGUGAAGAAGGCCUGCGGGUUGUAAAGCCCUUUCGGUAGGGACGAAAGCUCUCGACCUAACACGUCGGGAGGUUGACUUAACCUACAAAAGAAGCACCGGCUAACUCUGUGCCAGCCGCCGCAGUAAAAC